AGACCGCAGUGGGUUUACCGUGCGAUCCAUAGUUUGGGUUGCGUUGCCACAAUCGCGUGACUUGUGAUUUGUCGUUAAUGUACCUCUGGUUCUCUAUGUGUUUCUAUGAGUCUGUAUGUACAGGGUGCUUCAAAAGAAUGUGAACAUCUUAUAUUGGAAACUAAUGGAUAAUAUAAUGUAACAUGCUAACAAAAUUAUGUUAACAAAAGUUUGUUAAUAGCUUCAAAAAGUCAAAGAGUCUCCACUUGUUCGCCAUUUGUGUCAACACGUGCCUGGAAUCUUCUCCAGGUGUUCUCCACAGCCUGGAGGCACAUUUCUUGUGGUAUAGUUACACAUUCUCAGAAGUGUUAAAACAUUUUUGAAGCAUAUUCUUGGUUCUUUUACCGAAAGAACCAAGAAUAUGAAUCCCUGCAGUUACGAAAGCUUUAAAUAUAAAGUUUUGAAGCACCCUGUAUUUGUGUCUCCAUGGGUUUACUUUGUGGGUCCAUAGUUUGGGUUUCAUCGCCACAAUCACACGACUGGUGGCUGGUCUGGUUUAAUUUUCCAUUCAUCGAGGAGGCAUGCGCAUGGGGCCUCUUGUUGAUGUUUCGAUGAGGUUGAUGGUUACAACCACCAGCGUCUUCGAGGAGGUGGAGGAGGAAUGUAAAAUCCAGGAGGUGCAAUGGUUGGGUCUUAUACGAGGUGUUUAUUCCGGAGAUGUUAAGGGACAGGGUCUCCCUGGCAUUGUGAACUCGCCUGAUGCUGCUCUCUCUCAUUGCCGCUUUUCUGCUGCUGCUGCUACUCCCACAGGCAAUGGCUGUGAGUGAAGACGGCGAAGUGCCACGGACUGGGGUCUCGCCUCCUCCCCUCGCCGCUGCCCACCAGGUAUCAACCGUGCAGCCGCUACGGGAUCUGGCAGGAGAAUAUAAGAAGCUAUGGCUUUGUGGUGGCAUCCACAGCACAAGUAGCUGUUAUCCUCUUUAACAUGAACUCGGGUUCCUCCGCAACCACCCCAAGGAGCUGCCUCAGAAGAGCACAGCUGUCCAUUAAGGUGGGAGGGGGGUCAUAGGCCCCCGGCCAUCCCAUAGAAUCGCCACGUCUGACGACUUGAUUGCAAGACCUCUUCACCACAGACCCGAAUGCAAUCUCUGCCCUGCUGAUGAGAGCAGCUCUACCGCGUAUGGUAGUCCACGGCACCGCUCUGCAGCAGUCGCGUUGGCCUUUCCAGUGUGAGAGCUGAAGAGAUGUUGAAAUCACAAGAAAGCAGAAUUAAGGGUGACAACAACAACAAUGGUGAGGACCGUUUAAAGUGUUCCUUUCAUGUAAGAAGCAAAUGCACGAAACUCUCCGGAAAUAGUUUUACAUUUUGGAGAUGCUUUUGGCGACAGGUUGGGAUUUCAUGAAAGAAUGAGGCUGGGCUUUGGGGCUGAGAGACACCGUUAGUGUAGGGCGGAGUUUAGUAGCCAAACCACGUGCGAUAGGUUCAUGUUCGAGACAUCGUGCUGUUAGAAAUGGGCCAGAAUUAUUUCACGGUCAUUUUGGUUUAAAUAUGGCAUGGAAAAUAGUCCAGUAAUCGCAAAGCAGGUCGUUCGUAACAUGGAGGGCACAAGGGAGUGGCAAGGAAAAAAAACUAAUUGACAUUAAGAGUUAUUGGGAAAUAACAGAGCCAAUCUGAGGAUGUUGAAAAUAAAGUCAAGUACUGCUGCUGAAUGUUUAGUGACUUUUCUGAAUACAUUAUUUGGUGCUCUUUACAAUAAACUCCACUAGUUAGGAUGUUUAUUGUAAUUAAGUUACAUUUUACCUGAUCUGCAGCAAUUUUCACAGAUGUCCAGUAUUGUGGACGUAUAUGCCCAAAAAUAUGUUCUCAAAUAACCCAGACUGAUUCGUAUAUAUGUACGUUUAACUUAUUUCAUAUAUAUAUACUUACAUAAAUACUUAUUUCAUACGCACAAAUCAGUUUGAGUUAUUUGAGAAAAAAAAUUUGGGC